GUUACUUUAGGAGGGGCUUGCGCCAUAUUAGUUAGUUGGUAGGGUAAUGGCCUACCAAGACGAUGAUGUGUAGCUGGACUGAGAGGUUGAACAGCCACAUUGGGACUGAGACACGGCCCAAACUCCUACGGGAGGCAGCAGUAGGGAAUUUUCGGCAAUGGAGGAAACUCUGACCGAGCAACGCCGCGUGAACGACGAAGUACUUUGGUAUGUAAAGUUCUUUUAUCAAGGAAGAAAAGCAAGUGGUGAACCAUUUGUUUGCCGGUACUUGAUGAAUAAGCCCCGGCUAAUUAUGUGCCAGCAGCCGCGGUAAGACAUAAGGGGCAAGUGUUAUCCGGAAUUAUUGGGCGUAAAGGGUGCGUAGGCGGUCUAGUAAGUCAGUGGUGUAAUGGCAACGCUCAACGUUGUCCGGCUAUUGAAACUGCUAAACUUGAGUUAGAUAGAGGCGAGUGGAAUUCCAUGUGUAGCGGUAAAAUGCGUAAAUAUAUGGAGGAACACCAGAGGCGUAGGCGGCUCGCUGGGUCUUAACUGACGCUGAGGCACGAAAGCGUGGGGAGCAAACAGGAUUAGAUACCCUGGUAGUCCACGCCGUAAACGAUGAGUACUAAGUGUCGGGUUAAACCGGUACUGAAGUUAACACAUUAAGUACUCCGCCUGAGUAGUACGUACGCAAGUAUGAAACUUAAAGGAAUUGACGGGACUCCGCACAAGCGGUGGAUCAUGUUGUUUAAUUCGAAGAUACCCGAAAAACCUUACCAGGUCUUGACAUGUUUUUGCGAAACGGUAGUAAUAUCGUGGAGGUUAUCAGAAACACAGGUGGUGCAUGGUUGUCGUCAGCUCGUGUCGUGAGAUGUUAGGUUAAGUCCUAAAACGAGCGAAACCCUUAUCGUUAGUUGCCAGCACGUUAUGGUGGGGACUUUAACGAGACUGCCAGUGAUAAAUUGGAGGAAGGUGAGGAUCACGUCAAAUCAGCAUGCCCCUUAUGACCUGGGCUACAAACGUGAUACAAUGGCUGUUACAAAGGGUAGCUGAAACGCAAGUUCUUGGCCAAUCCCCAAAAACAGUCUCAGUCCGGAUUGAAGUCUGCAACUCGACUUCAUGAAGUGGAAUCGCUAGUAUCGCGAAUCAGCAUUCGCGGGAAUUUUUGUUUCCC
rnacentral:sRNA from 1 species